UCGCGGCAAGUUUUCUUCAGCUUUUGUAUCGAUUUCUUUGUCGACUCAGUACCGCGUAACUCCUUCACCACAGUGGAACCCAGAUACUACGCGAUUUUUGAACAGAAAAAAAACCGUGCCUCUAGAAUCUACAAGAAUUAUGUAUCAAAGAAAACAAGCGAUCAUCAAGUUGAACAAUAUGAACUUCCAAAUGAAGAAAGCGUUAAAUGCUCGUUUAUUGCGCUAGAGGUUACACCAAAGAAGAUAAUAUUCUGAAUGAAAUGUGUUAUUAGCUACACCCACGCUAUAAUUAUGAAUUAUAUUAAAAGAAGGAUUUUAUUAAGAAGAAAUUUAUUAAAAAUCUAUGAAACAUCGAGUAAAGCUUCAAUUUCUUCAAUUACACUCUUUCGCUGAAAAUAUAAGAAGUUACCGGCAUAAGAGCUAUCAAGAAUUCGGCCAUUUCAUCUACGACGAUCUAUAUAAAUUAUCCUUAAUAACCAAAUAAUAGAAUCCAUUCACUACAUAAAGCAGU